UUUGUGGGCGGCAAUGAGGUCUGCCUUUAACCGCCUGUCCUCCUGUUCAGGCUGAUGACAUCUACCAACGA
rnacentral:ncRNA from 2 species